rnacentral:rRNA from 1 species
CGUGCCGUGAGGUGUUAGGUUAAGUCCUCGKAACGAGCGCAACCCUCGUCGUUAGUUACAAGUGUCUAACGAGACUGCCGGUGAUAAACCGGAGGAAGGUGGGGAUGACGUCAAGUCAGCAUGGCYUUUAUAUCCKGGGCUACACACACGCUACAAUGGCCGGUACAAUGGGUAGCCAAACCGCGAGGUGGAGCCAAUCCCGCAAAGCCGGUCWCAGUUCGGAUUGCAGNNGCUGCAACUCGCCUGCAUGAAGUCGGAGUUGCUAGU